GGACGAACGCUGGCGGCGUGCUUAACACAUGCAAGUCGAGCGGUAAGGCCCUUUCGGGGGUACACGAGCGGCGAACGGGUGAGUAACACGUGGGUGACCUGCCCUCAGCUCUGGGAUAAAGCCCGGGAACUGGGUCUAAUACCGGAUAUGACUCCAUGACGCAUGUUGUGGGGUGGAAAGCCUUGUGCGGCUGAGGAUGGGCCCGCGGCCUAUCAGCUUGUUGGUGGGGUGAUGGCCACCAAGGCGACGACGGUAGCCGGCCUGAGAGGGCGACCGGCCACACUGGGACUGAGACACGGCCCAGACUCCUACGGGAGGCAGCA
rnacentral:rRNA from 1 species